rnacentral:rRNA from 1 species
UACGUAGGGUGCGAGCGUUGCCCGGAUUUAUUGGGCGUAAAGGGCGCGUAGGCGGCCACGCACGUCCGUUGUGAAAUCGCCCAGCUCAACUGGGCGGGGUCAGCGGAUACGGUGUGGCUAGAGCAAGCUAGGGGGCAAUGGAAUUCCCGGUGUAGUGGUGGAAUGCAUAGAUAUCGGGAGGAACACCAGUGGCGAAGGCGGUUGCCUGGAGCUUUGCUGACGCUGAUGCGCGAAAGCGUGGGGAGCGAUCCGG